UACGUAGGGGGCAAGCGUUGUCCGGAUUUAUUGGGCGUAAAGAGCUCGUAGGCGGCUCGGUAAGUCGGAUGUGAAACCUCCAGGCUCAACCUGGAGACGCCAUCUGAUACUGCCGUGGCUUGAGUCCGGUAGAGGAGCAGGGAAUUCCUGGUGUAGCGGUGAAAUGCGCAGAUAUCAGGAGGAACACCGGUGGCGAAGGCGGUGAUCUGGGCCGGCACUGACGCUGAGGAGCGAAAGCGUGGGUAGCAAACAGG
rnacentral:rRNA from 1 species